UACGAGAGGCCCAAACGUUUAUUCGGAAUUACUGGGCUUAAAGAGUUCGUAGGCGGCAUUGCAAGUAGGGUGUGAAAGCCCUCGGCUCAACCGAGGAAUUGCGCUCUAAACUGCAGUGCUUGAGGAACCUAGAGGUGAGCAGAACAGAUGGUGGAGCGGUGAAAUGCGUUGAUAUCAUCUGGAAUACCGGAGGCGAAGGCGGCUCACUGGGAGUUUUCUGACGCUGAGGAACGAAAGCCAGGGUAGCGAACGGG
rnacentral:rRNA from 1 species